rfam:Corchorus olitorius cultivar O-4 contig11781, whole genome shotgun sequence.
GGGUGUGAUCAUACCAGCACAAAUGCACCGGAUCCUAUCAGAACUCCGCAGUUAAGCGUGCUUGGGCGAGAGUAGUACUAGGAUCGGUGACCUCCUGGGAAGUCCUCGUGUUGCACCCC